GGCCCUGAGCCGCCUCUCCCCGCAGCCAUGCGCACGCUGAGCGAGGACACCAUCAGGCUCUUCCUGCAGCAAAUCGCGGGCGCCAUGCGGCUUCUGCACAGCAAGGGCAUCAUCCACCGCGACCUGAAGCCGCAGAACAUCCUGCUGUCCAAUCCCGCCGGCCGCCGCGCCAACCCCAACAGCAUCCGCGUCAAGAUCGGUCAGCCCGCGGGCAGGCAGGCGGGCCCGGCGGGGAGGGGCUCCGGGGCCAGCGCCUGUCCUGACGCGUCUCUCCCGCAGCUGACUUCGGCUUCGCGCGGUACCUCCAGAGCAACAUGAUGGCGGCCACGCUCUGCGGCUCCCCCAUGUACAUGGCCCCCGAGGUCAUCAUGUCCCAGCACUACGACG
rnacentral:sRNA from 1 species